GGGGACUCAAAUAAAAACAUUCCAGGGUUAUACGGUUAACGGUUUAUGAGUUAAAAAAACAUACCGACAAAUUUAUUCCGUAAAGGUACAUAACUCCUAUAAAAUUUCAUCGAAUCGCUUCGAUCCAAAUUAGCCAAAAAUUCCUGAGGAUGUAACGAACAAUUUGUAAAAAGAAUUUUGUCGCUUUCUUAUUUUGUUACGAAGGAGAUGCACACACAUGACAAACAGUGAAUAGGGAGAUAACUCUUACAAAGAAAAUGGUUCGGCUUAGCAGGGUGAAAUUUAAAAGCGCAUAAACUAUACGAUACAAUAUGAAAAAAAUCUAAGCGACAUAUUGCGAAACAAACAUUUAUCGCAAGAACAAAAUUUGGCGGAAAAAAAAAAAAAAAAAAAAUAAUAAUAAUCAGAACAAAUACAAUAGGCUUUCCACAGAAAAGUGGAAAGACCUAAUAAUCAGAACAAAUACAAUAGGCUUUCCACAGAAAAGUGGAAAGACCUAAUAAUAUGGAAAAAACUGGAGUUGUCGUUCGUUUUACGUUGAUAGGAUAGAUAGUACACAACCUACAUUCAGUUGUAAGUGGAGGGUUAAAAAAAAAGGGGGGGGGCAAAAGGGGGUCUCGGGGAGAUUUUUUUUUUUUUUUUUAUUAACGGAACAGAAUGGUUAAAAAGGUUUUUUACAAUAUAAAAUCAAUUGCUUUAAAAAAGCAAUUGUAGGGGGUCUUUCCCCCUUUAAAAUUAAUUGAAUUGGGGGGGGGGGGUUUUGGUUUGUUUGUUUGUUUGUUUGUUUGUUUCUGUAUGGGGUCUAUAUUAUUGUUACCGGAGAAGUUUCAUGUUUAGUUUGGAAAGUUUUUCUUUUAUUUUAGGUACAGCGCGC
rnacentral:lncRNA from 1 species